rnacentral:tRNA from 1 species
CCAAGGUUGGCCGAGCGGUUGAGGCACCGAACUCAUAAUUCGGGUUAGACUGGUUCAACUCCAGUACCUUGGA